rnacentral:lncRNA from 1 species
CAGCUCUGGAAUAAGGAACUCACGGAGGAGAGGACCCCCGUUCAGUUCCCAGUGUUGACUGAGGAGUUGGCAUAAUUGCCAGUGAUAAAGAUGCUGGAUGAUUAUAGACUUGUCUGUGUUUACUCUGGGCAUACGCUUCAAAAGUGAACCUCAUGGAUGUCCCUUCACAGCCUCUGAGACUGAAGCUCCUAUCACAGGUGACAUUUUGGUAUACUGGGUCCCUGCAGAAAAGAAUAAGCCACCAUGGCUUGUGCUUGUCCCCUGGUGCUGAGAUCUGUGACUGAAAGGAGAUGGAGGACAAACCUGGGGACUGGGGCAAGCUGGCACAAGCUUCCAGGAACUAUACCAUAGUCAUCUCCCACAACCCAGAGACCAAGAAGACCUGAGUGAAGCUGCCUUUGGGUCCAAGAAGGUGAAUUCCUUGGCCAACAGAGCUGUUGUUAGUGUCUUUGUUGCUAAGGGCAAAGUUGACUGGAGAUGGACAACUGGCUAACACAGAGCCACAAGGCAAGUUAGUGGUCACCUUGGGUCCUGGUACUCCACCCUGUGCCUCCCUCUAUACUAAGGUACCUUGAUUCUUUACCUUGAAGAUUUAAUGAUGUAAAGGGCAG